rnacentral:rRNA from 1 species
UACGUAGGGUGCGAGCGUUAAUCGGAAUUACUGGGCGUAAAGCGUGCGCAGGCGGCGCGUUAAGUCAGGUGUGAAAGCCCCGAGCUUAACUUGGGAAUUGCGCUUGUGACUGGCGUGCUGGAGUGUGGCAGAGGGAGGUGGAAUUCCACGUGUAGCAGUGAAAUGCGUAGAGAUGUGGAGGAACACCAGUGGCGAAGGCGACUCUCUGGUCUGUAACUGACGCUGAGGCGCGAAAGCGUGGGGAGCAAACAGG